rnacentral:rRNA from 1 species
AUUGAACGCUGGCGGCAGGCCUAACACAUGCAAGUCGAACGGUAACAGGAAGCAGCUUGCUGCUUCGCUGACGAGUGGCGGACGGGUGAGUAAUGUCUGGGAAGCUGCCUGAUGGAGUGGGAUAACUACUGGAAACGGUAGCUAAUACCGCAUAAUGUCGCAAGACCAAAGAGGGGGACCUUCGGGCCUCUUGCCAUCGGAUGUGCCCAGAUGGGAUUAGCUUGUUGGUGGGGUAACGGCUCACCAAGGCGACGAUCCCUAGCUGGUCUGAGAGGAUGACCAGCCACACUGGAACUGAGACACGGUCCAGACUCCUACGGGAGGCAGCAGUGGGGAAUAUUGCACAAUGGGCGCAAGCCUGAUGCAGCCAUGCCGCGUGUAUGAAGAAGGCCUUCGGGUUGUAAAGUACUUUCAGCGGGGAGGAAGGGAGUAAAGUUAAUACCUUGGCUCAUUGACGUUACCCGCAGAAGAAGCACCGGCUAACUCCGUG